UACAGAGGGGGCAAGCGUUGUUCGGAAUUACUGGGCGUAAAGGGCGCGUAGGCGGCCUGUUAAGUCGAACGUGAAAUCCCCGGGCUCAACCCGGGAACUGCGUCCGAUACUGGCAGGCUUGAAUUCGGGAGAGGGAUGCGGAAUUCCAGGUGUAGCGGUGAAAUGCGUAGAUAUCUGGAGGAACACCGGUGGCGAAGGCGGCAUCCUGGACCGAGAUUGACGCUGAUACGCGAAAGCCAGGGGAGCAAACGGG
rnacentral:rRNA from 1 species